AGAGUUUGAUCCUGGCUCAGAAUGAACGUUGGCGGCGUGGAUUAGGCAUGCAAGUCGAACGAAUCCCUGUUUGGGUAACUGAGCAGGGGGAAGUGGCGAAAGGGGCAGUAAGGCAUGGGUAACCUACCCUGGAGUUGGGCAUAGCCGUUCUAAAGGACGGGUAAUUCCCGAUGGCCUAGCGAGGGGACAUCUUCUUGCUAGUAAAGAAUUUUGCUCUGGGAGGGGCCCAUGUGCUAUUAGCUAGUUGGCGGGGUAACGGCCCACCAAGGCUAAGAUGGCUAGCGGGUGUGAGAGCACGACCCGCGCCACUGGCACUGAGACACUGGCCAGACACCUACGGGUGGCUGCAGUCGAGGAUCUUCGUCAAUGGGCGAAAGCCUGAACGAGCGACGCCGCGUGCGCGAUGAAGGCCUUCGGGUUGUAAAGCGCGAAAGUGGGGACGAAAGCCGAAAGGUUUGACCGAUCCACAGUAAGCUCGGGCUAAGUUCGUGCCAGCAGCCGCGGUAAGACGAACCGAGCAAACGUUAUUCGGAAUCACUGGGCUUAAAGGGCGCGUAGGCGGGUAUCCAAGUCCGUGGUGAAAUCCGGCAGCUCAACUGUCGAAUUGCCAUGGAUACUGGGUAUCUCGAGGGAGGUAGGGGCGUGCGGAACUAUUGGUGGAGCGGUGAAAUGCGUUGAUAUCAAUAGGAACUCCGGUGGCGAAGGCGGCACGCUGGCCUCUUCUGNNGCUGAGGCCGAAAGCCAGGGGAGCAAACGGGAUUAGAUACCCUCGUAGUCC
rnacentral:rRNA from 1 species